UACGUAGGUGGCAAGCGUUGUCCGGAUUUACUGGGUGUAAAGGGCGUGUAGCCGGGCUGACAAGUCAGAUGUGAAAUUCCGGGGCUCAACCCCGGACCUGCAUUUGAAACUGUUGGUCUUGAGUAUCGGAGAGGCAGGCGGAAUUCCUAGUGUAGCGGUGAAAUGCGUAGAUAUUAGGAGGAACACCAGUGGCGAAGGCGGCCUGCUGGACGACAACUGACGGUGAGGCGCGAAAGCGUGGGGAGCAAGCAGG
rnacentral:rRNA from 1 species